rnacentral:rRNA from 1 species
UAGCUGAAUAAAAUAGGCUUCGUGAAGCGAACCCGGCGAACUGAAACAUCUCAGUACCCGGAGGAAAAGACAUCAACCGAGAUUCCGUUAGUAGUGGCGAGCGAACGCGGACCAGGCCAGUGCCUGAUAUUCAACUAGCAGAACGCUUUGGAAAGAGCGGCCUUAGCGGGUGACAGCCCCGUAUGCGAAAGUGAUGUAUCAGGACUUGAGUAGGGCGGGACACGUGUAAUCCUGUCUGAACAUGGGGGGACCACCCUCCAAGCCUAAGUACUCCUCAGCGACCGAUAGUGAACCAGUACCGUGAGGGAAAGGUGAAAAGCACCCCGACGAGGGGAGUGAAAUAGACCUGAAACCGGACACCUACAAACAGACGGAGCCCAAGAUACGUUCUGGGUGACAUCGUACCUUUUGUAUUAUGGGCCAGCGACUUAAUUUAACGAGCAAGCUUAAGCCGAUAGGCGUAGGCGUAGCGAAAGCGAGUCUGAAUAGGGCGUCAAGUUCGUUGUAUUAGACCCGAAACCUAGUGAUCUAGCCAUGAGCAGGUUGAAGGUGAGGUAACACUCACUGGAGGACCGAACGGGUGCCUGUUGAAAAAGGCUCCGAUGACUUGUGGUUAGGGGUGAAAGGCCAAUCAAACUCGGAAAUAGCUGGUUCUCCGCGAAAGAUAUUUAGGUAUCGCCUCGGAUGAAUACCUCAGGGGGUAGAGCACUGGAUGGGCUAGGGGGACUUACCGUCUUACCAAACCCAACCAAACUCCGAAUACCUGAGAGUACUAUCCGGGAGUCACACAGCGGGUGCUAACGUCCGUUGUGGAGAGGGAAACAACCCGGACCUACAGCUAAGGCCCCUAAUUCGUGGCUAAGUGGGAAAGGAUGUGGAAAUCCCAAAACAACCAGGAGGUUGGCUUAGAAGCAGCCAUCCUUUAAAGAAAGCGUAACAGCUCACUGGUCUAAAUAAGGGUUUCUGCGCCGAAGAUGUAACGGGGCUCAAGCCACGAGCCGAAGCUUAGGGUGUAGUCCGCAAGGGCUACGCGGUAGCGGAGCGUUCUGUAAGCCUGCGAAGGGCGACCCGUGAGGGCGCCUGGAGGUAUCAGAAGUGCGAAUGCUGGCAUGAGUAACGACAAACACUGUGAAAGACAGUGUCGCCGAAAGUCCAAGGGUUCCUGCGUAAAGUUAAUCUUCGCAGGGUUAGCCGGUCCCUAAGGCGAGGCCGAAAGGCGUAGUCGAUGGGAAUGCAGUGAAUAUUCUGCAGCCAGUGGAUGGUGACGAAUCCCGUGUGUUGUCCGACCUUACUGGAUUGGUCGGGCCUCGAAGGGGUUCCAGGAAAUAGCCUCCACAUUAGACCGUACCCGAAACCGACACAGGUGGACUGGUAGAGUAUACCAAGGCGCUUGAGAGAACUAUGUUGAAGGAACUCGGCAAUUUACCUCCGUAACUUCGGGAUAAGGGGGCCCAUUGCGUGCGCAAGCACGUCGUGGGGGCACAGACCAGGGGGUGGCAACUGUUUAACAAAAACACAGGGCUCUGCGAAAUCGCAAGAUGACGUAUAGGGUCUGACGCCUGCCCGGUGCCGGAAGGUUAAGAGGAGAGGUGCAAGCCUUGAAUUGAAGCCCCGGUAAACGGCGGCCGUAACGAUAACGGUCCUAAGGUAGCGAAAUUCCUUGUCGGGUAAGUUCCGACCUGCACGAAUGGUGUAACGACAGCGGCGCUGUCUCCACCCGAGACUCAGUGAAAUUGAAAUCGCUGUGAAGAUGCAGUGUAUCCGCGGCUAGACGGAAAGACCCCGUGAACCUUUACUAUAGCUUUACAUUGAACGUUGAGUUCUUCUGUGUAGGAUAGGUGGGAGGCUUUGAAGUGCAGGCGCUAGCUUGCAUGGAGCCAUCCUUGAAAUACCACCCUGAAGUGCUUGACGUUCUAACCUAGGUCCGUAAUCCGGAUCGGGGACCGUGUAUGGUGGGUAGUUUGACUGGGGCGGUCUCCUCCCAAAGAGUAACGGAGGAGCACGAAGGUACGCUCAGCGCGGUCGGACAUCGCGCACUGUGUGCAAAGGCAUAAGCGUGCUUGACUGCGAGAUCGACGGAUCAAGCAGGUACGAAAGUAGGUCUUAGUGAUCCGGUGGUUCUGUAUGGAAGGGCCAUCGCUCAACGGAUAAAAGGUACUCUGGGGAUAACAGGCUGAUUCCUCCCAAGAGUUCAUAUCGACGGGGGAGUUUGGCACCUCGAUGUCGGCUCAUCACAUCCUGGGGCUGUAGCCGGUCCCAAGGGUAUGGCUGUUCGCCAUUUAAAGUGGUACGUGAGCUGGGUUUAAAACGUCGUGAGACAGUUUGGUCCCUAUCUGCCGUGGGCGUUGGAAAUUUGAAGGGGGCUGCUCCUAGUACGAGAGGACCGGAGUGGACGAACCUCUGGUGUACCGGUUGUCACGCCAGUGGCAUUGCCGGGUAGCUAAGUUCGGAAGAGAUAACCGCUGAAAGCAUCUAAGCGGGAAACUUGCCUUAAGAUGAGAUUUCCCGGAGCCUUGAGCUCCUUGAAGGGUCGUUCGAGACCAGGACGUUGAUAGGUCGGGUGUGGAAGUGCAGUAAUGCAUUAAGCUAACUGAUACUAAUUGCCCGUGAGGCUUGACC